CAUAGCGACUAUCGUGGCAUAUCAAUAAGCGGAGGAAAAGAAACUAACAAGGAUUCCCUUAGUAACGGCGAGUGAAGCGGGAAGAGCUCAAAUUUGAAAUCUUCAAGGUUCUACCUUGACGAAUUGUAGUUUAUAGAAGUGUUUUCUGUUAGUGGAGUGGCAAAAGUUCUUUGGAAUAGGACAUCAUAGAGGGUGAGAAUCCCGUAUUUGGUCAUUCCUCCUAGCGUUGUGAUACACUUUCAACGAGUCGGAUUGCUUGGGAAUGCAGUCCAAAAUGGGUGGUAAAUUUCAUCUAAAGCUAAAUAUUGGCGAGAGACCGAUAGCGAACAAGUACCGUGAGGGAAAGAUGAAAAGAACUUUGAAAAGAGAGUUAAACAGUACGUGAAAUUGUCAAAAGGGAAGCGUUUGACACCAGUGUUGUUUUUCCGAAAAUCAAUUACGAAUGUUUUAUUUUUGAGGAAGUUAUGACUUCAUCGGCUUGCUCACUUCUUUAUGAAACUUUCUUAAUGCACUUUUCGGUUAACAAGUCAACAUCAAUUUCUUUUGUUGUAAAAGGGUAUGAGGAAGGUGGCUUUCUUUUCGGAGAAAGGUGUUUAUAGCCUUGUGACCUCUACAAUCGGAGAGGAUUGAGGUCUGCAGCGUAGAUCCUUCGGGGUUAGAUACAGUUUGUGCUAAGUUAUAGCUUUUCAUAGACAACUUGUUGACUAUGUUAGUCUUGUAGCUUACUCGCUGAUGCUAUUUUACCUACGCUUAGGAUGUUGACGAGACUGUCGAUCUC
rnacentral:rRNA from 1 species